AGUCCACGGGCCCGGUGUGGAUCCAGGAACGUCUGGGAGUCAAGAAAAUCUUCUAUAAAAAGGGUUGGCUUGGUUUCGGCCUACUUUGGGACCCAGCAGAACCUGGAUGGAGAAGCUCCUACUGGAUCAGACUGGCUCACUUCCUGAAAUGAUCCCUUUCACCCCGAUUUUGCCUGUUUGGAAAACUGAGGCAGAAACCCAAAGAUGACCUGCUUGAAAUCAUAACUGAGAGUCUGACCUUGGGACUCUGAGUCCCACCCUAAGCAUUUCUGCACAGCGUAAUUCCUCCUGCUGCGGUGUUUGGUCUCUUCCCUUCCUGGCGAGGGGAAGCACAGCUGUCGCAACGGAGCUGGGGGGAGGAUGUAAGCUUAUUAGGACCCCCGCUCCCGGGCGAUGGUUCAGCCGGUGAACUCCUGACCCGCCGGGCUGCCGCAGGAAGUGUGACGUGCUGACUCCGGCAGGAUCCUGAGGUCUGCAGGGGAGGCAGACAAGCCGGAUUGUAUUAUUUCGUCCAGGAGGUUAGAAAUACGUAGGGCAAUAGCAGAGCUGAAGCUGCUGCAGGCUCCACUCAGCUCCCCGAAGAAUCGGCCCGCUGCAGUGAGGGAGCAGCCCUGUGCCGCGGCUGGGAGGGUCCUGGCGGGAUGUGGUGGCCCGCAGGGGCUGCAGGAGUGGGCGCUGCGCCUCCAGGUCGCCGUUAGACACCUGCAGGCCUCCCGCAGGCCCAGGAGCGCUCACAGUGGGAGUCUUGGUCAGGGCAGGCGGUGGGCAGCAAGGAGAGGGGCAGACCUACUCCCGCUCUGAGCACCCCAAGCUCUCUUCAGGACCCCGAGCUUCCGUUUCUGCAACCUCCCUGGAGAGGCAGGGGGUGCCUGGGAGGGCGGUGUCAUCAGGCAGGACGGUGGGCCCCAGACGCAGGGGCAGUUGGUAUGAAGUAUGCCCAGCUUCCCUCCGCCCCUCUGCCAAGUGCACGUUGAGCUCCGCUGACUCCUCCUUCUCUUUGGUAACAGCAUCUUGAUUUUCCUUUGGGGAAAUCUCAGACCACGAGAUUAGGGUAGGGUGGCCUCAGGUCCCUGGUUCCUCGGUUGGUCCUAUGACUGAGCCUGACAAAUCAGAGCACGAUUCCCUGACUGAGCCUGGCCAAUCA
rnacentral:lncRNA from 1 species